GGAGGGUGCAAGCGUUAAUCGGAAUUACUGGGCGUAAAGCGCACGCAGGCGGUUUGUUAAGUCAGAUGUGAAAUCCCCGGGCUCAACCUGGGAACUGCAUCUGAUACUGGCAAGCUUGAGUCUCGUAGAGGGGGGUAGAAUUCCAGGUGUAGCGGUGAAAUGCGUAGAGAUCUGGAGGAAUACCGGUGGCGAAGGCGGCCCCCUGGACGAAGACUGACGCUCAGGUGCGAAAGCGUGGGGAGCAAACAGGGAUUAGAUACCCUGGUAGUCCACGCCGUAAACGAUGUCGACUUGGAGGUUGUGCCCCCUGAGGCGUGGCUUCCGGAGCUAACGCGUUAAGUCGACCGCCUGGGGAGUACGGCCGCAAGGUUA
rnacentral:rRNA from 1 species